GGAAAAGAUACUAUAGCAGCCCUCCAGGACUCACAUCAGUUCUUCAGACAAAAUGUGGAAAACAUGAAUGUGAAUCUCAUGACACAAAGCAACACUACCUUUUCAGGUCUUUUUGUUUUUGUUUCUUUAGAGGGAUACUUCAAGAUCCUUGAAAAGCUCUGCAGGUGUAAAAGCUCUAUCUCCACUGCAGCUCCAUCAUGUGUGAAGUAGCCUUGUUGUGUGUGCUUCCAUGGCUGCCUCAGAACCGUGGGAGAAAACUUCAGAGCCAGUUCUGCAGUUCCAGUCCCAGCUUUGGAUCUGACCAUGCUACCUUCUAGAUGAAUGACAGCCCUUUGUACAUGGUACUCAGACUGUGAUGAUGUCUCCAAGCCUCAAACCCUGCAAGCUGGGGCUGAGCCUUUGUGUUUUAUGAUCUCCAGCCUUUCUCCAAUGUUCUGCAGUGACUUCCAGGAAUCUUGCAAGUACAGUAACCUACAGAUGACAGUCAGCAAGGAUUUGCAGGUACACCGAUCCUGAGGUAGAGAUGUCACUUUGGAGAUGUGACUGGAAAUCUGUCCUAAGAGCACUGACCAGGCCUCCUUCUGGCCUUGUGGAUUCUUCAUGCUUCCAUUUGGUUUCAGGCUUUUUGAUUUUUCCAUCCUCUAAAGGUAUUCCUUGGGGAAAAUCUCUCACUGCUCUUCACCUGUUUCUGACUGUAACAGAAGAGUCAGGUGCACAGACCGGUCACACUGCUGCUGCUUCCAAACAGUAUUCCAGACAUUAUAAAAAGAUGCUGGGUCUGAAAUUUUAUAACAAGUCUCAUCAGUUGGCUGUUUUAUUUUCCUGGAAAGGAGCUCAACUGAACAAGCUCUGGCAGACACACAGAGCUAUGCUGUUGCCACUGACAGGAGUCCCAGAACAACACAUACAGUCUGUGAGAAAAUGCUACUGUCUCACAACUGUGGAAAAAAAAGAAAAGAGCAGCAAAG
ensembl:lncRNA